CUGUGUCAGUGCUGCACACACUUUAAGAGCUGUAGUGCUGAUCAGAGUGUGUUCAGUCCUUUCAGAGCCACUGACACGCAGCACAAUGAUGAUGGUACUGAUUCUACUGCUGGGGACACUGGGACUCCUCGCUCACCAGUCCUUUGGGGAAAUCGUCCUGACUCAGUCUCCAGGAUCUCAGUCUGUUUCUCCAGGACAAUCUGUUACUCUCACCUGUACAUCCAGUCAGGGUGUUAGCAAUAACCUCAACUGGUACCUGCAGAAAUCUGGAGAAGCUCCUAAACUCCUGAUCUAUUAUGCAUCUAACCGUCAGUCUGGGAUUCCAGAUCGUUUCAGUGGCAGUGGAUCUGGUUCACAGUUUAGUCUUAAAAUCUCUGGAGUUCAGUCUGAAGAUGCAGGAGAUUAUUACUGUCAGCAGGGUAGCAGCUUUCCGUACACACAGUGUUAUAGCGCCGUACAAAAACCUCCCUCAGCUGUAGAGGAAGUGCUCUGACUCAGAAACACGCACUGAUCUGAGAACAGCUGCA